rnacentral:misc_RNA from 1 species
GUUUUGUACUGUUCAACAAUCUCUUCUGUCAUUUUGUUCAUAGGGAAGAAAUGGCCGAGCAUUUCUGUUCUCCCACGCAAUGAAUAUUAUUGUGGGAGCUAAAGAAGAUAGGCAUCUUCUGACUGGUCUCCAUACCGUUGCUGAUAUUUAUUGUGCUGAUUGCCGUGAGGUUUUGGGUUGGAAGUAUGAGAGAGCUUAUGAGGCAUCUCAGAAAUACAAGGAAGGGAAAUACAUACUUGAGAAGUCAAAAAUUGUUAAGGAGAACUGGUAGCAACUUGCUUGGAUCCUCUUUGAUUUAUUCCAC